UACGUAGGGUGCGAGCGUUGUCCGGAAUUAUUGGGCGUAAAGGGCUCGUAGGCGGUUUGUCGCGUCGGGAGUGAAAACUCAGGGCUUAACCCUGAGCCUGCUUCCGAUACGGGCAGACUAGAGGUAUGCAGGGGAGAACGGAAUUCCUGGUGUAGCGGUGAAAUGCGCAGAUAUCAGGAGGAACACCGGUGGCGAAGGCGGUUCUCUGGGCUGUAACUGACGCUGAGGAGCGAAAGCAUGGGGAGCGAACAGG
rnacentral:rRNA from 1 species